rnacentral:rRNA from 1 species
AACGAACGCUGGCGGCAUGCCUAACACAUGCAAGUCGAACGAGACCUUCGGGUCUAGUGGCGCACGGGUGCGUAACGCGUGGGAACCUGCCCUUAGGUUCGGAAUAACUCCCCGAAAGGGGUGCUAAUACCGGAUAAUGUCUUCGGACCAAAGAUUUAUCGCCUUUGGAUGGGCCCGCGUUGGAUUAGCUAGUUGGUAGGGUAAAAGCCUACCAAGGCGACGAUCCAUAGCUGGUCUGAGAGGAUGAUCAGCCACACUGGGACUGAGACACGGCCCAGACUCCGACGGGAGGCAGCAGUGGGGAAUAUUGGACAAUGGGCGAAAGCCUGAUCCAGCAAUGCCGCGUGAGUGAUGAAGGCCGUAGGGUUGUAAAGCUCUUUUACCCGGGAUGAUAAUGACAGUACCGGGAGAAUAAGCUCCGGCUAACUCCGU